UACGAAGGGGGCUAGCGUUGCUGGAAUCACUGGGCGUAAAGCGCACGUAGGCGGCUUUUUAAGUCAGGGGUGAAAUCCUGAAGCUCAACUUCAGAAUUGCCUUUAAGACUGCAUCGCUUGAAUCCAGGAGAGGUGAGUGGAAUUCCGAGUGUAGAGGUGAAAUUCGUAGAUAUUCGGAAGAACACCAGUGGCGAAGGCGGCUCACUGGACUGGUAUUGACGCUGAGGUGCGAAAGCGUGGGGAGCAAACAGG
rnacentral:rRNA from 1 species